UACGUAGGGGGCAAGCGUUGUCCGGAAUCAUUGGGCGUAAAGCGCGCGUAGGCGGCCCGGUAAGUCCGCUCUGAAAGUCCAGGGCUUAACCCUGGAAAGCGGGUGGAUACUGCCGGGCUUGAAUCCGGAAGAGGCGAGUGGAAUUCCUGGUGUAGCGGUGGAAUGCGCAGAUAUCAGGAGGAACACCGGUGGCGAAGGCGGGUCUCUGGGCAGUAACUGACGCUGAGGAGCGAAAGCGUGGGGAGCGAACAGG
rnacentral:rRNA from 1 species